rnacentral:tRNA from 1 species
UCCCCCGUAGCGCAAUCGGAUAGCGCACCGGACUUCUAAUCCGGCCGUUGCGGGUUCGAGCCCCGCCGGGGGAGCCA